rnacentral:rRNA from 1 species
GACGAACGCUGGCGGCGUGCUUAACACAUGCAAGUCGAACGGAAAGGCCCUGCUUUUGUGGGGUGCUCGAGUGGCGAACGGGUGAGUAACACGUGAGUAACCUGCCCUUGACUUUGGGAUAACUUCAGGAAACUGGGGCUAAUACCGGAUAUGAGCUCCUGCUGCAUGGUGGGGUUUGUAAAGUUUCGGCGGUUGGGGAUGGUCACCCGGCUUAUCGGCUUGUUGGUGGGGUAGUGGCUUACCAAGGCUUUGACGGGUAGCCGGCCUGAGAGGGUGACCGGCCACAUUGGGACUGAGAUACGGCCCAGACUCCUACGGGAGGCAGCGGUGGGAAAUAUUGCACGAUGGGCGGAAGCCUGAUGCAGCGACGCCGCGUGCGGGAUGGCGGCCUUCGGGUUGUAAACCGCUUUCGCCUGUGACGAAGCGUGAGUGACGGUAAUGGGUAAAGAAGCUCCGGCUAACUACGUG